UUAGGAAUGAACAUGGGCAGAUCAUAGUUUACCUGAACUUUACACUUGUCACAACAGCGUGUCAUUCAAUUUAUCCCACGGUGGUAUUGAUGUGAAAGCUUUUACUAAUUACAAUUCCGUUUUUGUUUAUUUAAAUUUACUUUUUGUUCUUAGAAAAUGCCUUACAGAGGGAAUUUUAUUUUUUAUUUCCUCCUAACCACCAGGUGUCGCUGUUCCAAAAGUCACACAAGCUAUUGUCCAAUCAACGGUUUCCUAGAAUUUAAACUAGUAGCGGCUCCUAAAGCUCAACGACCUUAACAAAAAAAAUAAACAAGUAAAUCCUGAUCAUUGUACCGCGUUUAAGAUUAGCAAGUUUUAGACAUUUUCCCCCUAGAGGUGGACUAAAAGUGCUAUUUUGUUCAAAUUAGUUUUCAUCAAGUGUGACGAAGUAGAUUGAACGCAUUGGUACUACUAGCAGCAGCAGAGAUCAUCGACGCCUUAAAACUUGACGGGUUUUGUCCAAUUAGUUAGUGAUAUUUUCGUUUAACUAUUUAAUUUCAACGUGUUUGGAUAACUCGCCCGGUUACUGCAAACAUGAAGCCGGUAAAGUCGUUAUUUCUGAAGACGUAUGGCAAACAGAUGCGGAAGGUUUCCGCUUGGAUUUCCCCUAAAGAUCGCAAACGAGCCUUCGACAGCACCGAAUCUGAUGAUGAUUCCGUAUUUGAAUCUGCAAAUCCCAAAAGGACGAGAGGAAAGCACAAACGGGUCUUCACACAAGAAGUCCGUCCAGCCAAGAAAAAGGCCAUGCAGCAACUGAUAGAGUCGAGUUAUGAUGAAGACAGUUUAAUUAAUGACAACUUCAACCAACCUAGGUUUGCUAAAUAACACAACUGAAAAGUUGGUCUCAAAAUACAAUAUAGAAUCUCGUCUCAAUCCUGAUGCGCUGUUUUUUUUUCUUUGUAUUUUUCCAUCUCAGAGGCCGAAAAGCCAGUGUUUUCAGCAGAACCUGUGGUAUAGCGGGUCAUCCAGUGAAGAGAAGGGCCAAUCUGCGUUCAAAAGAAACAAGCAGCAGUGAGGAAAACUUACCUGUGGGGCCAUGUACCCUAAACAAAAACAAAAAAGUUAUACGGUCAGUGCCUUAUUCUUUUUCCUUUUUUUUUAGCCAUUUUCCAACUAACUUGGAUUUCUGCUGAUGGUUUGAGAGCAUAUAGUCAGGAAAAGAAAGAAGAUUUUUACAGUUCGCUCAUUAGAUUUCUGUCUCUGUUUUUAUUCCCUAAAGACCCACUCUGAUGAAAUUUGUGUUUUUAAACAUGUUCUUGUGGCAUUUUUCCUUAUGAUGCAGGACAUAUAAAGAAUAUUAAGAUUUGUUUUUCUCAUCCAAACCUGAUUUUGGAUAAAGACAGCAUAAUCAUAAUUAAAAGACCUUUGGGAAUGCUUUGAAAAUGAGAUCGGAGUGUGACUUUACGCAUUUUUGUUUCCUUCUCCAUCAAAAGGAAAAACCGGCUUGUGUCCGCCCCUGUUUUAACAAAGCGUAAACGCCAUAAAAUUACCUUUACGAGUGACAGCGAGGAGGAAAACACUGCACCAAAACCCAAGACAAUAUCAGUUAAAGCAGCUACAGACUCCAAGUAAGCACUUUUCAUGUAACAUUUGUGAAUUUCAGCAGGAGAGAAUGUCACGAGUUAUU
rnacentral:lncRNA from 1 species